UGUCAGGUGGAAACGGGAACCACUGUGGAUCAUCAUCAUCCUCAUCGCCACCUUCCACCGGCUCGGAUCCUCAGCCCGGCCGGCGGUGACCGCUGCAGGCACGCAGCGCCCCCUUUUUCAUGCGCCACGCACGGCAUCGUGUCCCCACGGUGCACGGUGCACAGUCUGCGGACUCUUUCUGUCCAGACAAACCGCUUACUCUACCCAAAAUCGAGGGAAGAUCCAGGGGCGUCCAUUGAUAAACCGCUGUCCUCACAGAUCCAGCCCUGUAGGGGUCUUCGGCGUUAGAGGAGGACACAUCUGACCUGAGGACGCGGACAGCGAAGCCGGAGGGCACCGGGGCGCGAUGGCUAAUGCUUCCCCAGACCUGGACAACGCAGAAGCCCAGCGCCAGCUUAACAACAACAACCGACCGAUCGGUUCUGGGUUCUGGGAGAAGGAGUGUUCCAGCUCCAAGCUGUUUGAAUGCUCACGCAUUAAGGCGUUGGCAGAUGAACGAGAUGCGGUGCAGAAGAAGACUUUUACCAAGUGGGUAAACUCACAUCUGUCCAGAGUUUCCUGUCGCAUAUCUGACCUCUACAACGACCUCAGAGAUGGAUACAUGCUCACCAGACUGCUGGAGGUCCUCAGUGGAGAGCUGCUGCCGAGGCCGACCCGUGGUCGUAUGCGAAUCCACUGUCUGGAAAAUGUUGACAAAGCCUUGCAGUUCCUUAAAGAGCAGCGAGUUCACCUGGAAAACGUUGGUUCCCACGACAUUGUGGAUGGAAACCACCGCCUCACUCUGGGCCUUAUCUGGACCAUCAUCCUACGCUUCCAGAUCCAGGUGAUCAAAAUAGAGACAGAGGACAACAGAGAAACUCGCUCUGCCAAGGAUGCCCUGCUACUCUGGUGCCAGAUGAAGACCGCAGGGUAUCCUGAAGUCAACAUUCAGAACUUCACCACCUGCUGGAGAGAUGGCCUGGCCUUCAACGCCCUCAUACACAGACACAGGCCAGACCUGAUUGAGUUCCAUAAGCUGACAAGGUCCAAUGCAACACAUAACCUCCAGCAAGCCUUUAAUAUCGCUGAGCAGAACCUGGGCCUUACCAAACUCCUGGACCCUGAGGACGUGAAUACAGAAAACCCAGAUGAAAAGUCCAUCAUCACUUAUGUGGUCUCCUACUACCACUACUUCUCCAAAAUGAAGGCUCUUAUUGUGGAGGGCAAGAGGAUUGGGAAGGUACUUGAAAACUGUGUUGAGUCGGAAAAGAUCAUCAACCGCUACGAGGCUCUGGCAUCAGACCUGCUGGACUGGAUUGAAAAGACCAUUGCAGUCAUCAGCAACCAGAAGUUUGCCAACUCCCUGACUGGAGUCCAGCAGCAGCUGCAGGCCUUCACCACUUACUGCACCAUAGAAAAACCAAUCAAGUUUCAGGAGAAGGGGAAUCUCGAGGUCCUUCUUUUCACCAUCCAAAGCAAACUCAGAGCCAACAACCAGAAACCCUAUGUGCCUCACGAUGGGAAGCUAAUUUCAGACAUCAACAAGGCGUGGGAAAGGCUGGAGAAGGCGGAGCAUGAGAGGGGCGUGGCCCUGCGCAAGGAGCUGAUUCGUCAAGAGAAGCUGGAGUUGCUGGCUCAGCGCUUUGACCACAAAACCACCAUGAGACAAGCCUGGCUUAAUGAGAAUCAGAGACUCGUAUCACAGGACAAUUUUGGCUACGACCUCCCAGCAGUCGAGGCAGCAAUGAAGAAACACGAGGCCAUUGAGGCGGACAUAGCCUCAUAUGAAGACCGGAUUGGAGUGGUGGUAGAACUUGCAGCAGAGAUGGAGAAGGAAGGAUAUUAUGACAUUCGCCGAAUCUUGGCACGAAAGGAGAACAUCCUGGGUCAGUGGGGCCUGCUGAAGGAGCUGGUGGCAGGGAGGAGGACCCGUCUGGAGAAGAACCUGGCCCUGCAGAAGACCUUUCAAGACAUGGUUUACAUGAUUGACUGGAUGGAGGACACACAGGUCCAGCUGCUGUCAAAGGACUUUGGGAAACAUCUUCUGGAGGUGGAUGACCUGCUGCAGAAACACAGCCUGCAAGAAGCAGACAUUACUGUACAGGCUGACAGGGUGGAGACACUCAACACUGCUGCACUCAAAUUCACCACUAUAGAGGGUUACCAACCGUGUGACCCCCAGGUGAUCUGUAACCGUGUCAACCACGUCUCUUCCUGUCUGGAGGAGCUGAAACAACUGGCAGUUAAAAGGCGUGCUGAGCUGGAGGAGUCCAGACAGCUGUGGGCCUUUUUUCAGGAGCUGGAGGAGUCUGAGGUCUGGAUCAGAGAGAAGAGUUCGAUCCUGGGAGCUCAGGGUUAUGGGAAGGACCUGAGCAGUGUGCUGAGGCUACUGCAAAAACACAAGACUCUGGCUGGAGAACUGCUGGCUCACCGGUCACUGCUGCAGAACACCAUGAAGAGAGGAAAGCAGAUCCUGAGUGAGAAGAGCUUUGGCACUGCGGGGAUCCAGGAGCGCAUCAUGGAGGUGAAGAGUGAGUGGAAGCAGCUGGAGGACCAGGCAGCGCAGCGUCUCGGUCACCUCCAGGAGGCACUCAACUUUUUUCAGUUCUCCACGGAGACAGACGACUUGGUGGCCUGGCUGCAGGAUGCUUACCGACUGGUCUCCAGCGAAGACUUUGGACACGACGAAUACUCUACUCAGUCACUGCUGAAGAAACACAGAGGGGUCAGUGAGGCCAUCGACAAGCAUCGCGUGCAUGUUGUUACGCUGCGCAAACACAUGGUGACGCUGCCUCUGCAGUACCGUGAACAGGAGGAGGUGCAGGUUCGGAUGGGAGAGGUGGAGCAGUUGUACACCGAGGUGAUUGAGGUCGCGGUGCUCAGACAGCAGUGGCUUCACGAUGCCCUUGCUGUCUACCACAUGUUCAGUGAGGUCAACGCCUGCGAGCUGUGGAUUGAUGAGAAGGAGCAGUGGCUAGAUAAGAUGGAGAUCCCUGAGAGACUGGAGGACGUGGAGGUGGUGGCCCACAGGUUUGAGAGUCUGGACCAAGAAAUGAACAGCCUGAUGGGAAGAAUCCUAGAUGUUAAUCAGAUAGUUCAGCAGCUCCUGGAUGGAGGUCACCCGUCAUCUACAGAGGUCAGAGGUUGUCAGGACCAUCUCAACUCCAGGUGGAACAGCAUUGUGGAGCUGGUUGAGGAGAAGAAAGAUCAGAUGAACUCGAUGUUACGCCUGCAGAACUACCUGCUUGAAUGUGCCGAGAUCAAGUCCCAGAUACAGGACAAGAGAAAAGCCAUCGACGCCACGCAGUAUGUGGGCAGUGACCUGGGAGGAGUCAUGGCUCUGCAGAGACGCCUUUCCACCAUGGAGGGAGCCCUGUCUGUCCUGGAGCCCAAACUUCUGCAUCUGCAGGAGGAGGCAGAACAUCUUGCCACGGUUCACUCAGGUCGAGCCAUAGAGAUUCUGGUGCCAUUUGAUGGCAUCAGUGUAGAGUGGGAGGAGCUUAAACACACCCUGCAGGGAUGUGAGGACUCGCUGAUGGUGGCAAGCAGACUGCAAAGCUUCAUACAGGACCUGGACUCGUUCCUCACCUGGUUGGUCCAGACGCAGACGGCUGCUGCAUCAGAACAGCUGCCCAAUGACCUGGAGGAGGCCGAGAGACUUAUCAACAAACACGCUGCCCUCAAGGAGGAGAUAGGACGGUAUGAAGAGGACUACGAGCGUCUGCAGGCCAUGAACGAGCUGCUGGAGUCUGAGGAGGCUCCUCUCCCUCAGGCCGCGCUGCAGCAGUGGCUCCAGAAGCUCGAUGUCGGCUGGAAUAAACUGCUGGAGAUGUGGGAGAGCAGGAGAGAAGUUCUGGUCCAAGCUCACAUUUUCCAUCUGUUCAUGCGAGACGUGAAACAGGCAGAGUCCUUCCUCAAUAACCAGGAAUCGGCCCUCGCUCACGUGGAGCUGCCCACCACAGUGGAAACAGUCGAAGCCGCCAUAAAGAAACACAAGGACUUCACAACCACCAUGGAGCUGAACCUGCACCGGAUCAAAGCUGUGAUCGAGGCAGGAGAGAGUCUGAUCAGUCAGAGCAACAUCUACUCUGAUCGCAUCAGGGAACGCAUCGACACCCUCGCCACCAGGGGAAACCAGAACAGAGAGCUGGCCCAGCAGUGGCUGGAGAAACUGAAUGACCAGUGGGAACUUCAGAGGUUUCUUCAAGACUGUCAUGAGCUGGGGGACUGGGUGUGUGAGAAGAUGCUAAUGGCGAGAGAUAGCAGCCGAGACGAGACCCAGAAGCUUCAUAAGAAAUGGCUGAAGCAUCAGGCCUUCAUGGCGGAGUUGGCCCAGAACAAGGAAUGGCUGGACAAAAUUGAAAAGGAGGGCCAACAGCUGAUCCAGGAGAAGCCGGAGCUCAGACCUGUCGUCCGGAGGAAGCUGGAGGAGAUCAGGGAAUGCUGGCAGGAUCUGGAGAGCACCACCCAGGCAAAGGCCCGCCAGCUCUUUGAGGCGAACAAGGCCGACCUGCUGGUGCAGAGCUAUGAAAGCCUGGACCAGAGGCUGGGUCAGCUGGAGGAUCAACUGGUUUAUGUGGACCAGGGACAGGACCUCACCACUGUCAACAAGCAGCUCAAAAAACUACAGACCAUGGAGGUUCAGAUGGAGGAGUGGUAUAAGGAGGUGGGGCAGCUGCAGGUGCAGUCGUCGUCCAUACCACAGCAGACACAGGUCAAAGAGACGGUUGCGGAGCGUCAGGCAGCCGUGGAGGCCAGGAUGGUGCGUCUGAUCGAGCCACUGAAGGAAAGACGGCGCAUCCUGCUGGCGUCUAAAGAAGUCCACCAAGUUGGACGAGACCUGGAGGAUGAGAUUUUGUGGGUGCAGGAGCGCCUCCCGAUGGCCAUGUCUCAGGAGCACGGUUCCACGUUGCAGGCCGUCCAGCAGCUCAUGAAGAAGAAUCAGACACUGCAGAGGGAGCUGCAGGGCCACAGGAGCAGGAUUGAGGACGUCCUGGAGAGGGCAGGAAUCAUCGCCUCUAUACGCAGCCCCGAGGCUGACUGUGUCAGGGCUGGCUACAACCAACUGGCCCAGCUAUGGGCUGUGCUCUGGACUGAGACUGAGAGAAGGCAGCUGGUUCUGGAUGCCAUGUACCAGGCUCAGCAGUACUACUUUGACACAGCUGAAGUGGAAGCCUGGCUGAGCGAGCAGGAGCUGCACAUGAUGAAUGAGGAGAAGGGGAAGGACGAGCCGAGCACACUGCAGCUACUGAAGAAACACUUGGUCUUAGAACAGACCAUUGAAGACUAUGCAGAGACCAUCGGCCUGUUGUCACAGCAGUGCCGGCAGCUGCUGGAGAUGGGACAUCCAGACUUUGAGCAAAUCAGCAAGCGCCAGUCACAGAUCGACCGUCUGUACGUGUCCCUGAAGGAUCUGGUGGAGGAAAGAAAGAGCCGCCUGGAGCAGCAGUACUGGCUCUACCAGCUCAACAGAGAGGUGGACGAGCUGGAGCAGUGGAUUGCUCAGAGGGAAGUGGUCGCCAGCUCUCCUGAACUGGGUCAAGACUUUGAGCAUGUGACAAAAACAUUCCCUCUGCUCAUUCAGGUCCUGCAGGAGAAGUUCACAGAGUUUGUGUCAGAAACGGGAAGUGUGGGGCAGGAGCGAGUGACGGCCAUCAACCAGAUGGUGGACGAGCUCAUCGACUACGGCCACUCAGAGGCCGCCACCAUAGCAGAAUGGAAGGACGGAGUGAACGAGGCCUGGGCCGACCUACUGGAGCUCAUGGAGACCCGGACGCAGAUGCUGGCUGCCUCUCACCAGCUGCACAAGUUUUUCUCUGACUGCAGAGAGGUUUUGGCCCAGAUUGAGGACAAACAUCGAAGACUGCCAGAAGUUCGGGCUCGGCAGGGCAGCACUGCCAACACCAGCACUCUGCAGAGACUCCUGAACAGCUUUGAACAAGACAUCCAGCUGCUGGUCACACAGGUGCGUCAGCUACAGGAGAGUGCAGCCCAGCUGAGGACAGUGUAUGCCGGCGAGAAGGCCGAAGCCAUCGCGUGCCGUGAGCACGAAGUGAUGCAGUGCUGGAAGGAGCUGUUGACGUCCUGCGAGGAGUGUCGAGUGCAAAUCACCACAGAGACGGACAAGCUUAGGUUCUUUGGCAUGGUCCGAGAUCAGCUCAUGUGGAUGGAUUCAAUCAUCUGUCAGAUCGGGACGGGAGAGAAGCCCAGGGAUGUGUCCUCAGUGGAGGUGCUGAUGAAUUAUCACCAGAGUCUGAAGAGUGAAGUGGAGGCUCGCAGCCGCAGCACACUUGAGUGUAUCGAGAUGGGAAAGACCCUGCUGGCUGCCAGAAACCCUGCAGCUGAAGAGAUCAAGGAGAAGCUGGACAAGGUGGUUGCUAAGCAAUAUGAGCUGUCUGAGAAGUGGGACAAGCACUGGGAAGUACUACAGCAAUUGCUGGAGGUUCACCAGUUCGCCCAGGAAGCAGCCGUGGCAGAGGCGUGGCUGACCGCUCAGGAGCCACUCAUCAGCAGCAGAGAGCUGGGCACCAGCGUAGACGAAGUAGAGCAACUAAUUCGUCGACACGAAGCCUUCCGCAAAGCAGCUGCUACCUGGGAGGAGCGAUUCAGCUCACUGCGACGACUCACCACUGUGGAAAAGUUGAAAGCAGAGCAGAGUAAACUGCCCCCAACCCCUUUGCUGGGGCGCAAAGUCUUCCUGGACCCCCAAGAUGCCUUACCCAGUUCAUCCACCCUUCCCCGUCUCCAAAUCUCCCCCGUUAUGAGACAGACUAUCUAUGAACAGACAGAAGCCAGCUCACCUCCUUCACCCUCGCCAGCCACGCCCACACCCUCUCCUUCGUCCGCGGUUCGUCGGCUGGGAUCAACAGUCGCUAAUUACACUCCUGUGAUGAAUGGCUCCAGUUAUCGCCAAACCCUGGAGACAAAGCAUGCUGGGGUGGCGGGUGUGGGUGCAGGACUAGGUAAACCCGCACCCUCCUCAAUCGCUUCAAUAGCCACGGCAGCCAUGCUCGUCUCAGCCAAUCAGGUGCGAGAAAGCGUUGGCACGGUGAGAGACCAAGCAUCAAAGUCGGUGAGUCACCUCCAGCCUGUACAGGCAGCAAAGGACGUGGAGGUGAAAGUGUCUCCGUAUCUAAGGCAACCCAAAAUCAAACACAUGGAUGACAUAGUGACGCCUCUGAUCAUUGCGAGUCGACUGGAGAAGGUGAGGGAGAGAGGGAGGGAGAGAGAGAUGAUGAUGGGAGAGAUAGGGAAAGAGAAAGCAGAGGUGGCGGUGAUGGCUGAGGUGGUGCUGCAGGAGCCGGGUCGGGAGCGUUUGCAUAGCGAACCCACCAGAGGGCCCCGGGGAUCCAGGAUUGAUCAUGCUGAGCCUCAGACAAACACCUACCACAGGGAGCACAGGAUAGAACGGCAGCUGUCCAGUGAGCAGCUGAUCCAGGCGCGACGAGACGAGCUGCCUCAGGAGGUGUGGAGGGAACAUGCUGAGAGACGGGAGAGAAGGACACUAGAGAGACAAACGUCCAGUGAGCACGAGAACCACGGGGGCCACGAGGGUCGGCGGAGAGAGAGGGACCGACACAGACCGGAGAAACAGGAGUCCAGUGAGAUUGACACCGGGAAGGAGCAUUCAGACAGACGCUCAGGAGGAGGAGAAAAAAGAUCCACCCUGGCAGAAAUUGUAGAGCAGCUGCAGGAAAGAGAAGCAGCACAGGCCCGUGGCGAGGUGCCCCGCCUCCCAAACGGCGUGCCAGAGAAGUCUUCCCGUCCCGAACGGCCUCGAGCUCGGGACAGACCCAAACCACGGCGCCGACCACGACCCAAAGAGGCGGGAGAGACAACGAGGCGGUCCAGAUCCGCUCCAGCUCAGAGUAGCCCAGCAGUCCCCCAGCCCCCAUCGCACACCGCACAUCACGAGGGCUUCCUUUUCCGCAAACUGGACAUUGAGAGUCUGAAGAAGAGCACCAACAGGUGGGUGUCCAGGGUCAUAAUGAUAAACACAACCUGAAGAGGAGGUGAAAGGAGUCAUGGAGGAGGAGAAUGGACACUGGUGUCAUGAGAAUCAGACUUGUGCAUGGUCAGGUGGUACUUGUAGGACUGGUUUUUAAGAAAGGUUAUUUCUAACUGGAAUGGUGGGUUUAAUCACAAUUCAAGAUGUGUUUUCAGAUGCGUCCUUCGUCUGAAAAUGGUAUAUGUCAAGCAAUACUAUCAGACCUGACUGAGGGAGCGUUUUUGUGUAGCAGCAUAGGUUUAGGCAGGGGCAAAAAGUGUUUUCUCAUCAAACUGCUGAAGGACCGUGUUUUCUGAGCAAUAGCAUCACUUUGUUGGGCACUUCUAUGUGUUUUCAGUCGUACUCCAACCUGUAGCCGUUUUACUUUCCCAGCACAAUGUUGCUGUUGCCUCUGUUUGUCUUCACAUAGAUCUAAACACCACUAUACUGAGAAACAGAGCAGUGUGUGGCUGAUAGUCCUCAUCAGUAAUAUGGGAACUCAUUUGACAGUGGUUUGAAUGUAAUGGACAAUUUGCAUAUAUUUAGAAAUGACACACUACAGUUUGAACUAUUGAUUGAUUGUAAACUGGCUAAAACAAGCAGUUUGACUCAUGUUGGCUACAGAACAUGUCUCUGUUCCUGCUGCCGUCUGUUACUCGUGAUACCAACAUCCCUCUUCCUCCCUCUGCUCCAUUUCCAGAUUCAAAAACAAUGACAGCAGCAUGACUUUAGCAUGCUAAGCUAAAAGGCUAACACGCUCCGCUUACAAAGAUGCAUGACUGACACCAGCUCAGAUCAUGACACUUGGUUCCUCUUUGGUUGCUUGAGCAAGGAGACAUAAAUGUGUGUGUGUGUGUUGCUGUUGUUUCCAAGCAUCAAGCAUUCAUUAAGCAGUUUGAAUAUAAUGAUGUUUGGAUGUUUACAUAUUUCACUGUAACUAGGAAUUAUUUUGCUUCCAACAAAUCGGAAUACUGAGAAACUUUCUGCUUUUGACAAUCGUAACCAAGUCAUAUAAUGAUUUACAUCCAGUGGGAAAGUUAGGUAGUGAAUGAGUAACAAAUAUGUCACUGUAUUUUUUGUAUUAUACUGUAUUUUUUUGAUAUUUGUCUCUUCAGUCAUAUUAUAUUUUCCUAAAAAAAACCCAGUGAAGUUGACAGUGUUAGAACAUCACACGUGCCUUAGUUUCUUAGCUUUGUGUCAGUUUGUCUACACAGAAACUAAACACAGGCAUUGAUAAUGGCAGCAGGAGUUUUUCUCAUAUCAGGCGGCAACAUUAGAUUGUCAUAUGUCUUCUAUGAUCAUCAGUUACAUGAACUCAAAAAGUAGCUCUUAGAAAUGUCACCGCAUGUGAAAAUGACACGCAUGAAGCUUACGAUGCCUCCCGAUGUAACACAGAGUGAGACACAGCAGAUUUGACUGGCUGGCUAUGGCAGACUGAGCUGCUGGCUGAUGAGAGCUGUGGGAGGAAAGACUGAGAAAGCACACACACACACACACACACACACAUGCUUGCACAACUAUCCAUUUAAGGAAUCUAUUGACUUCCAUUCAUUUGAACUGCCUAUGUUUAUAAAUAUGGGUUAGUAUGUGAACAGUAUUUCAAAAACGUUUCACAAUUCUUCCACAUUAGGACCAGAUUUUGGUCUCCAUGAGAACAGCUGGUCCUGACAAAGUCAGUCUUUAUGCCAGAAAAGUCUUAAGAGGUGACAAAUACAAGUAGUAAACAUACACACACACACACACACACACACAUACACACACACAUGCUGGCCUCCACAGAUGACUGUCCGCCCUGCUUCCUUCCAAGAGACACAGAUGGCAAAGUCUCUGCACUGCCCUCUAGUGGCUGGACUGACCACGCACUGCUAUAAAGCUCAUCCUGUUCCUGCUCAGGAUGAAUCCCACGCAUGUCUCCACUCAAGGCAGUGGAUGAAUAUCCCAUAUGUACAUGCCCUGUUAUGUACAUGCCAAGGUAAAAGCAUAAUCCUGGAUGGCUGAUCAGCUGAGUGUGACUGUGACUGUGAAUCUCCAAACAGUUCCUCGUCUGACUUCCUCUUCACUCUGUCCUUGACUUGAGUUUGACUGGAGGAGAAGAUCUGCAGGUCAGGCUCUCAGAACAUUUCCUCCAGUCAUUAGUGAGAAAAAGAGGUUAGUCUGUGAGGAGCCACUGAGAUUCAACCUGUCUCUGUUACGUAGCAACAUGACAAGACACCAAUUUUGUUUAUGUGCACAUUAUUAUUCUGGUAUUAUUCAGGACUACAAGUGAGGUAAAUGUGGAAAAAAAGUACUUACAUCAUUUCUGAUAUCCAAAGGCCACCGUAGUUCCUUGAUGGUCCCCUGUUUGUUGCAGUCUAUCCAUUAGAUGUCACUAAUUAUUACAUACUGGACCUUGAAGUUUUACAUACCUUUUGGUGUGGUGCAAGUUAUUAUUUAACCUUCAUAUGAAGUUAUUAUGUCUUUAUUGGGAUUUAACAACUGCAGCUCCUGUGGUGGUCCGGUUCUUUGUGUUUCCCAAAAAGAAAGAUUCACUGUGUGUCAGGCUGUGGUUAAACCUGGGAGAGUCUCUAACAUUAACACGUUUUGAUAAUGUCUCUAAACCAUAAAUGGACUUUAGCAAUAGAACCAGUGCAGGCUUCAAAAUAAAGACUGAUUUAUACUCAGUUGUGUGAUAUCGUCACAGUCACUGUCUCCUUGCAGUGUUUUCUCCUCAAACUAUUUCCCAGUUUCUCUCCUGUUUGGUUCAACGAAGCAAGUACUGACAACGUCUAAUCCUCACAGUAAAUAUAAAUACAAUAUAGAAUAUAGUGCUCGAGGUGAUACAGUACUGAAUGAGCCUGCUGAACGAUAGUGUGUGGUUAUCACGACGAAGACUGAAUACUUUUGUCUAGACGUAAAUUGAAAACUUUGCUCAACACCACUCGUGUUUUGUAGAGGGAGAAUCAUCUACAAUGUUAUAAAUUAUUAAACAUUACUUUUAAACAGGACCCAGUGAUGGACUGGCGACCUGUGCAGGGUGUACCUUGCCUUUUGCCCUAUGUCAGCUGGGAUUGGCACCAGCGAAUGAAUUAAUAAACAUGCUUAAGAAGAGGAUAAAAGUUUCACACUGGUUGUAAUGUGGAGAUUGAAUGUGUGUGAUUGGAAGCUUGUUGAUAUUUGAAAUACUGGUGAAAGUAUAUAUUAAAAAAAGACAAGUCAGGAUCUGACAUGGCAUAUGAAGCUGCACACGUAUAGUGUGCCCUGAAUAAUACCUUUAUCUGGUUAUAAAGGCUGUUGACCGGAAUGCUUUGUGCAUGUGCACACAUAGCAGGAAAAGAAUGACCACACUUUAAAUGUGAUGUUACCAAAAUGCCAUUUAACCAAACUCUUCUGUUUUUCUUUUCCCUGUCCUCCUCGGUGCUGCUGAUGGCUCGUCUCGUCUCCUCCAAGGUGUGUCCAUGAAGAAAAUACAGAAUUCACUCACACUGGUGUUGUAAGCAAACAACAAUAACCACAAUUCAUCCACACCUACCAUGGAUGAAUCAACAAUGCUGAUGAAGAGAUGACAGUGGAGGACAAGAGUGUAAAAGAGAAAACAGUGAAAUUUCACCUUGUUCUUGAGACAUGAAUAGAAAUAAAAAACACUUGAAAUCCUGCUCAUAAGAAAAGAUCACACCACUGAAAUUUGCUAAAAUGUUCUUUAGUUGGAGAUCUGCAAAUGGAGCCGCUUCCCUUUGUUCAUGUAGAGUUUAUUUAGGAUAUAAGAUUUUCUCGUGAGCGUUUCUGCAGGACAGAUAAGUUACCAGGUGUUUGGACCUGCAACAUAAAGACAACAGGAGGGCUCAGUCGCUGCCGUCCAUGCGGCUGAUUCAGAGAGACAAUAAAGACAGAUGCACGGAGUGGUCAGAGAGAAACAGCCUGUGGUUACCAGGGGCCUCAUUCAUUAAAAUGAUGUUUGAGUUUUGUUAAAUUGAUAUUAAAAAAAGAAAAAUGUCAAUGGCUCUAUCUCGCCACUGUGUAUAUCUUUAAUAACAUUGCUGAAAUUUAUUUUGAUCUACAAAUUUUAUUAUCAAGAUCAGGUUUUCAUGGCUGGCUUUGGUCAUAAGCACAAAAUCUCCACCUGGCAUGUUUUUAAUGAGUGAGGCCUCAGGCUUCAUCUACUCUGAAAUAAUUACAUCUGUUGCAUCCGUUUUUAUACAGAAUUAAAAGAUGACGUGUUUGUUGCGCGUGUGUGGAUUUUGUGUGUGCACAUACGUGUGUACUGCUGCUCUCCACUCCCAGGGUCUCCAUAGCUCUCAGGUUAUUUAUGUUAGUGUGUGCUUAUGUGUGCUUUUUGUGUUAAUAUGUUUGUCCCCUCAGAUGCCAUGUCAGUCUUCCAGAGAAAUUAAAUUCAUAACAGACCUACACACGCACACACACACACACACACACACACAUUACAGCGUGAAUGGAGAAACUGUCUCGGUCAUCAUCCCAUCAGUGUAGCGUUAGAAGGGAAUGAAUGCCUGAAUAAAUGAAUUAAUUAGUGAAUGAAGUGAUGCACAUGUGACAGCCAGGAUUUCACGCUGACCAAAUAUUUAUCAAAAAGGGUUAAACUGUCUGUAAGUUGUGAGAUUGCAUGUUUUGCUUAGAGAGAAAUCACUCAUCUAAAAAAGCUUGUCUUUGCUACCCACUGACUCUGUAUCCACUCAUCAGUUCAUUUCAUGUCAAAUCACCACAAAGCCAUAGACCACAGGCAAAUGAGGAGGAAACGGUCAACAUCCAUUUAGCUGUUCAAACCAGCCCAAGGCUGAGGGGCAGAGAAAAGAAGCAUCCAGGUCAGAUAGCAUUUAAAAUCCUUGAGUCAGUCAUUACAAAUGUGGUUUCAAUAGCCCAUCAUCUGUAUGGGAGUAGUGUUCAUUUUUGGUUAUGUUAUAAUGGAUAUAAUGUUUAAAGUCCAACUGAAAUUCAUGUCUUUUUAUCUUUACUGCUCUGUAAGUUAUGUCCUGUGCACUCCUUUUAGAAAACAUCAGUAAUGACGAUGGUGACCACUAGUUUUGCAUUAAUUGGUCAAUUACCAUUAUAUUCAUACAACCAAUAAAGUUGCUUUAUUUUAAACCAAAUUUGUUUUUUUUUUAAUUUUUUAGAAAUCUCUGUUUAUCAGGGUAACGUUUUUGUUUUUGAAACCUAAAUAUUCAGGUGAGGAGCUAACAGUAUUAUCUGUAAGUUCUAGAUGUGUGUUUGUAUUUUUUUUUAUUUGUUUAUUUUUAAGUAGUUCUUAAUUCACACCAGGAUUUUAAAUUCUCUCUUGACCUGUCAGACUGGGUUGUAUUUGUCAUAAAACAUGUCUUGAGAACUUGUAACUUUAUUUUUCUUUUAGUCUCAACACUUUUUAUGCAUCUAAAGUAGGCGUAAAAGCCAGAUCAAUGCAAUCAUUUACAUGCAUGUUGGACACAACAAACAGUCAGAGUUCAAAGAGGUGAACUCUGAAGGAGAUGAAAGUGACACAGGACAGUCCUCUGCUGUCAGAUUAUGACUAACAUCUUAAUGAACUGACACACCUUGAUGCCGUCGACAGGCACACGACAGAAAGUGCAGGGUACAGCUAUUAUGCUUACAGAUGACAUAAAGUAUGUAGUUACAACCAUUACUAUGCUGCUGACAGCAGAAACAAUCAGGUAUUCCAAAAGCAUCUUGGGUAACAUCUUGGUUUGGGUGGUGGUAGGUACCCUGCUCAUCUGUGUGUGUCUACUGUCCUGUUCACAUCAAACUCAGUUUGUCAGCCGAGAUGAACUGGCAAAUAAAAAAACUUUUGAUUUAU